CCUACGGGUGGCAGCAGUGGGGAAUAUUGCACAAUGGGCGCAAGCCUGAUGCAGCCAUGCCGCGUGUGUGAGGAAGGCCUUCGGGUUGUAAAGCACUUUCAGCGGGGAGGAAGGCGUUAAGGUUAAUAACCUUGGCGAUUGACGUUACCCGCAGAGGAAGCACCGGCUAACUCCGUGCCAGCAGCCGCGGUAAUACGGAGGGUGCAAGCGUUAAUCGGAAUUACUGGGCGUAAAGCGCACGCAGGCGGUCUGUCAAGUCGGAUGUGAAAUCCCCGGGCUCAACCUGGGAACUGCAUUCGAAACUGGCAGGCUAGAGUCUUGUAGAGGGGGGUAGAAUUCCAGGUGUAGCGGUGAAAUGCGUAGAGAUCUGGAGGAAUACCGGUGGCGAAGGCGGCCCCCUGGACAAAGACUGACGCUCAGGUGCGAAGGCGUGGGGAGCAAACAGGAUUAGAUACCCCUGUAGUC
rnacentral:rRNA from 1 species